AAACCGGACUAAUCCCAAUAAGGGCUAGUUUCCCCUCUGGGUUGGAAGGUCAGAUGGCAGUCGCUUUCGUAAAAACUACCUACACCAAUUCUUGGGUUUAGUUGCCCAGCGGACCCCAGGCUCCCAUGAGCUGUCGCAAAAUGCCGGGACAACGCGAGGAAGAUGA